UAGCGUCCNUNUUAGCUNCGCCGGUACGGGUUGUAAAGCAAGAGCCGGAGAUGGUUNUGAGCCCGAAUCCAGGCCUUACGGGGUCANCAGGCGCGAAACCUUUNCAAUGCUUGGCANCAGCGAUAAGGGAACCUCGAGUCCAGGUUACAAAUCUGGCUGUCGAGAUGCNUAAAAAGCAUUUCAUAGCAAGGCCGGCAAGCCGGUGCCAGCCGCCGCGGUAACACCGGCGGGCUCGAGUGGUAACCGUUAUUAUUGGGUCUAAAGGGUCUGUAGCCGGCCGGAUAAGUCUCUUGAGAAAUCUGGCAGCUUAACCGUCAGGCUUUCAGGAGAUACUGUCUGGCUCGAGCCGGGAGAGGUGAGAGGUACUUCAGGGGUAGGGGUGAAAUCUUGUAAUCCUUGAAGGACCACCAGUGGCGAAGGCGUCUCACCAGAACGGACCUGACGGCAAGGGACGAAAGCUAGGGGCACGAACCGGAUUAGAUACCCGGGUAGUCCUAGCCGUAAACGAUACUCGCUAGGUGUCGGCCACGGUGCGACCGUUGUCGGUGCCGUAGGGAAGCCGUGAAGCGAGCCACCUGGGAAGUACGGCCGCAAGGCUGAAACUUAAAGGAAUUGGCGGGGGAGCACCACAACGGGUGGAGCUUGCGGUUUAAUUGGAUUCAAUGCCGGAAAUCUUACCGGGACCGACAGCAAUAUGAAGGCCAGGCUGAAGACUUUGCCGGAUUAGCUGAGAGGUGGUGGGGGCAUGGDDGUCGUCAGUUCGUACUGUGAAGCAUCCUGUACNCAGA
rnacentral:rRNA from 1 species